UGGUCGAUGAUGACUAGCCCACUGCGCAAUCCGAGUUCCACAAUGAACCUGAAUGAUGGAAUUAGUGCUGGAAAAUGUCUGAGACCC